rnacentral:rRNA from 1 species
AGUAACACGUGGGCAAUCUGCCCGAAAGUGGGGAAUACCCCAGGGAAACUUGGGCUAAUACCGCAUGUCAUCGCGAUCCCGAAAGGGAAUGCGAUCAAAGGGGGGCCGGCAAGGUCUCUCGCUUUCGGAGGAGCCCGCGCCCGAUUAGCUAGUUGGUGAGGUCAAGGCUCACCAAGGCAACGAUCGGUAGCCGGCCUGAGAGGGUGAUCGGCCACACCGGAACUGAGACACGGUCCGG